AACGUAGGAGACGAGCGUUAUCCGGAAUUACUGGGCGUAAAGCGCGUGUAGGCGGUUGAGUAAGUUCGUCGUGAAAGCUUCCGGCUAAACUGGAAGAGGUCGAUGGAUACUGCUCGGCUGGAGUGCGGGAGAGGCAGGUGGAAUUCCGGGUGUAGUGGUGAAAUGCGUAGAGAUCCGGAGGAACACCAGUGGCGAAGGCGGCCUGCUGGUCCGCAACUGACGCUGAGACGCGAAAGCAUGGGGAGCGAACGGG
rnacentral:rRNA from 1 species